rnacentral:misc_RNA from 1 species
GAAACGCGAUAGGUAAUGUGAAUUGCAGAAUUCAGUGAAUCAUCGAAUCUUUGAACGCACAUUGCGCCUCUUGGUAUUCCGAGGGGCAUGUCUGUUUGAGUGUCAGUACCCACUCUUCCCUUCGCAUUUGCUGAGGAAAGGUCUUGAAGGGAUGCACCCUUCCAAAGUGGCACGCUUGCGAACCUGAUACCAAUCACGACGUAGUAAACAUUCUCGUUAUUGAAAGGUAAAAAAGGCCGCCUGAAAUCAAACUGUAGUUUGACCUCAGAUCAGAUAAGGAUACCCGCUGAACUUAA